rnacentral:rRNA from 1 species
UACGUAGGUGGCGAGCGUUGUCCGGAUUUACUGGGCGUAAAGAGCGCGCAGGCGGUCGUUCAAGUCGCGUGUGAAAGCCCCCGGCUCAACUGGGGAGGGUCACGCGAUACUGAUCGACUCGAAGGCAGGAGAGGGGAGUGGAAUUCCCGGUGUAGUGGUGAAAUGCGUAGAUAUCGGGAGGAACACCAGUGGCGAAGGCGACUUCCUGGCCUGUUCUUGACGCUGAGGCGCGAAAGCUAGGGGAGCAAACGGG